rnacentral:rRNA from 1 species
GACGAACGCUGGCGGCGUGCUUAACACAUGCAAGUCGAACGGAAAGGCCCUGCUUUUGUGGGGUGCUCGAGUGGCGAACGGGUGAGUAACAAGUGAGUAACCUGCCCUUGACUUUGGGAUAACUUCAGGAAACUGGGGCUAAUACCGGAUAGUAGCUCCUGCUGCAUGGUGGGGGUUGGAAAGUUUCGGCGGUUGGGGAUGGACUCGCGGCUUAUCAGCUUGUUGGUGGGGUAGUGGCUUACCAAGGCUUUGACGGGUAGCCGGCCUGAGAGGGUGACCGGCCACAUUGGGACUGAGAUACGGCCCAGACUCCUACGGGAGGCAGCAGUGGGGAAUAUUGCACAAUGGGCGGAAGCCUGAUGCAGCAACGCCGCGUGCGGGAUGACGGCCUUCGGGUUGUAAACCGCUUUCGCCUGUGACGAAGCGUGAGUGACGGUAAUGGGUAAAGAAGCACCGGCUAACUACGUG